rnacentral:rRNA from 1 species
UACGUAGGGGGCAAGCGUUGUCCGGAUUUAUUGGGCGUAAAGAGCGUGUAGGCGGCUUUACAGGUCCGUUGUGAAAACUCGAGGCUCAACCUCGAGACGCCGGUGGAAACCGUAAAGCUAGAGUCCGGAAGAGGAGAGUGGAAUUCCUGGUGUAGCGGUGAAAUGCGCAGAUAUCAGGAGGAGCACCCGUGGCGAAAGCGGCUCUCUGGGACGGUACUGACGCUGAGACGCGAAAGCGUGGGGAGCAAACAGG